rnacentral:rRNA from 1 species
GACGGACGCUGGCGGCGUGCUUAACACAUGCAAGUCGAACGGUAAGGCCCUUCGGGGUACACGAGUGGCGAACGGGUGAGUAACACGUGGGUGAUCUGCCCUGCACUUCGGGAUAAGCCUGGGAAACCGGGUCUAAUACCGGAUAGGACUCCUGCCUGCAUGGGUGGGGGUGGAAAGCUUUUGCGGUGUGGGAUGGGCCCGCGGCCUAUCAGCUUGUUGGUGGGGUGAUGGCCUACCAAGGCGACGACGGGUAGCCGGCCUGAGAGGGUGACCGGCCACACUGGGACUGAGAUACGGCCCGGACUCCUACGGGAGGCAGCAGUGGGGAAUAUUGCACAAUGGGCGCAAGCCUGAUGCAGCGACGCCGCGUGAGGGAUGACGGCCUUCGGGUUGUAAACCUCUUUCAGCACAGACGAAGCGCAAGUGACGGUAUGUGCAGAAGAAGGACCGGCCAACUACGUGCCAGCCGCCGCCGUAA